GGAUAGCCUAGUGGUCAUGGCAUCUGCCCGGUAAGCGGAAGGUCGUGGGUUCGAUCCCUUGUGACCA